rnacentral:lncRNA from 10 species
CCAGGGCCAUCUUGUCUGCUCCUUACUGUACAUGUGGCUGGCAGAGAAGGGAAGGUGGAGCCGCUAUUUUGAACAUGAUUGGCACAACUGCCAGCAUCUAUAUCUGCAGCUUGAUUUUACAGGCUGCUCUUUGUUAGAAAGGAACAUGAUUUGGGGCUACUUUUCAUUAAAAGGAAAACUGUACCGAAGACUUCCAUACCCUCACUAUCUGUGUUAUUUUCUAGGUUUGGGACCUCUGCGUACCUCCUGUGGCUUUAUGGUACCUGGUAUUGUUUCCCCAGACCAUGAGUCUCCAGUGUUGGAGUGCCCACUUCAGAAGUCUGUGUGUUUUGCUUCAUCCUGAGGACUACAAACAAGAAGGGCGCUGGGGGAAGGUCAGUUCGAUGCUUUCUGGAGAACUAUCCUUCCAAGGUGGAGGAUCCCAUCUUGGAUACCACAUUACCUUAAACACUGCCUCAGCCAGGUGAUCAAGGUCAACGUCUACUGUGAUAAGUCAUGGUUUUGGUGUGUACCCUUGAUGUGAUGUGAUAAAAAUGGCACUUUACCUCUGUGGUCUUCCUCUGAAAAAUCCCGUAACAGCAGCCUAAUCAUGAGAAGCAUAUCAACAAAACUCAGACUCAGGGACAUUCUACAAAAUACCAGGCUGUCCCUCCCUGAAAUUGUCAAGUUCACCAAAAACAAGGUGAAUCUAAGAAACCUGUUACAGCCAAGAGGAGCCUAAGAAGACAUGAGGACUAAAUAUAACAUGGAAUUCGGGAUAGGAUUGUGCUACAGAAAAUGUAUGUGCUAAUGUGAGAUGUUAACAGUUGGAGAAACUCAGUUUUGGGUAUAAGGAAUUCUCUGUACUAUGUUUAUCUAAAAACAAUUCCAUGGUGAGCAAACUUAAGCAUAGAAAUGUUAAAUAAAUUGUCCAAAAUAGAGAAGUAAAUAGCAGUGCCAGGUUUCAAGCAUAAGAAUCAUCAACUCUGAACUUUAAACACAGCUCUGUAUGGUACUUUUGUUUAUAUCAAUGCCUAGAUAGAUAAAUAGGUAGAUAGAUAAUUUCCAAGUGCUAGAAACAAAAAAGGAACUAAAACUGAUAAAGAAUAUAAAUGAGGCCAGGCAGGGUGGCUCACACCUGUAAUCCCAGCAUUUUGGGAGGCCGAGGCAGGCAGAUCACUGAAGGUUCGGAGUUCAAGACCAGCCUGGCCAACUGGGGAAACCCUGUCUCUACUAAAAAAAAAAAAAAAUAGCCAGGCAUGGUGGCAUGUGCCUGUGAAGCAAGAGAUGUGAGAGGAAAAACAAAUUUUUCCUCUUUCUUUUGGUAUGGGCAGCUUCCCCCUUGAAUCCCUCCUCACUCCUUGUGAUUUUACCCUGCUCUGUAAGUUUUAUGAGUUUAUAGAUUCCUGUUUUCUGUAACUAGUGUCUGUAAGUCUCUGUAGCACCGUGGAGGUAAUGAGACAUGCUUGAGCAAGCUUAGAUUGCAGCCAUCUGGGCGCCAUAGCGAAGGACACGAGAUAAGGCUGUGCAGGCAUCUUGAGCAAACCUAGAUAACAGCCACCUGGCCUGCACAGCAAGAAUCAUGUGUAAGCUUGAGUUAGGAACCUGUCACAGUUUGAUUAACUGCCUUUGU